GCUGGGAUAGUAUAGUGGUUAGGGUGUUUGACUGUCAGCCAAAAGGUUCUGGGUUCGAACCCCAAUGUCUGCA